CCGAGCCCGCCUGUCGGAGCUCCUCCCUCCCCAGACUUCUCAGGCGACGUCAGCGGCGGAUGCCGAGGCGGGGAUGAGGGCCCCUGGCCCGCGAUCCUCCCAGCAAGGCUCCCGCCUCGGCCUGAGGCCCGAGAUCUCCGCUUUGUGGUGCCCAGACGACGUGUGCCACACCGGCGGGGCUCGGGCGGGGGCUUGGGAGUGGGGAAGUGAGCCAGGGGCGCUCAAUUUGUCUUCUCUCCCCCCAACCCGCUAGGUUGGAAAGGUUUUCUUUUGGGGAAAUUUCCUCUCCGCAGCCUCACACCCAGUCAGCGGACCCUCCCAUCCAGGAGGAAUCUCCUCUGGUCCCAUCGGCGCGUCUUCCGGGAAUCGCCAAACACCGGAGACAGAGAUUGAAAAGUAACCUUGAGAGAGUCCCUUCCUUGAUUCCAGGGAAAGUUACUAGAGGAUGUGCUCCAACAAAACAUGAGAGCAAGACAAGAAAGAGAAAGACAUGGGAUCCAGAAAAAAGGACCAGGAGAAUGUGAAGGGAAAUGCCAGGGUGAAAGAUAUGUGGCAGAAUUAGAGAGCAAUCGUUUUCACUGGAGAAGGAAGAUGGCAGACUCCAAGAAGGAAGACUGAGAUAUAGGAAGAAUGAUUAUCAGCUGAAAAUGAAGAUAAAGCAGA